rnacentral:rRNA from 1 species
CCUACGGGGAGCUGCAGUGAGGAAUAUUGGUCAAUGGACGAGAGUCUGAACCAGCCAAGUAGCGUGAAGGAUGACUGCCCUAUGGGUUGUAAACUUCUUUUAUAUGGGAAUAAAAUGUUCCACGUGUGGGAUUUUGUAUGUACCAUAUGAAUAAGGAUCGGCUAACUCCGUGCCAGCAGCCGCGGUAAUACGGAGGAUCCGAGCGUUAUCCGGAUUUAUUGGGUUUAAAGGGAGCGUAGGUGGAUUGUUAAGUCAGUUGUGAAAGUUUGUGGCUCAACCGUAAAAUUGCAGUUGAAACUGGCAGUCUUGAGUACAGUAGAGGUGGGCGGAAUUCGUGGUGUAGCGGUGAAAUGCUUAGAUAUCACGAAGAACUCCGAUUGCGAAGGCAGUUCACUGGACUGCAACUGACACUGAGGCUCGAAAGUGUGGGUAUCAAACAGGAUUAGAUACCCCAGUAGUC